rnacentral:misc_RNA from 1 species
UUCCAUUCAACGCGGUGUACCCGGUGGUAGUAUAUAGUCGUCGUCCGAUAAACCGCGCGUCCGGAGUUCUACGCAGUUCGUUCGCUCGACGAAGAAAUCGUUUGGCGGUGCAUCGCGUGGGACCUACCGAAAUCUGGAGUUUCUUCGAAAAAUUGGGAUUUGCUUCGCCGAUAUGACACCAUCUGUAUGUGUACAAGACGUACGUGUGCGUACACGUUGGUGUACACAGGCUACCGUCAGAUGUGCCGUGAAAAUGCACGUUCGUACGUACAUACGUAACAGGCAGCGAGGGGUAGAAAUGGGUCGUCAAAACUGCGCCCACCUUACAACAUC